ensembl:lncRNA
GCGAAGGCAAUCCCGCGCUGUGUUAGCAAAAUUUUCAUGUCAUCGGGUGGGUGAAAUUCGUAAAGGUUGAAGUGUGUAUGUUAGGAUGGUAACAUUAUAAUAAUUAAGGAUGAAGUGUGAAUUCAUGCCAGGAAUAAUAAGGUUCUCACGGAAGGUGAUAAUUCUGACUAAAUCUACAUAAUAAAGCCGCUAGUUAAAAUCAAGGAACGGUUGUGCUCUUGGUUACUGGAGGGAGCAACACCACAACAGGAAUAAGGAUUAUGGAAAGUGUAAAAUUUCGUGGAACUGUGCCAAUUCAGAUGCCUUGCUUUAGCCAUAUCACUCAUACUGUUUCUCGUUUAGUCCAUCCAUAAAAGCAGAUCAGCUUUUGUUGCAUCCAGGAACUUGUAUAAUGUGCUUAUGUUAUGCUUAUAUGUUUGUGGGACCGUCAUUGGUGUCCCCCAGCCCAUCCCCUUUGUUGUGUGCCAAGCAUUCUUGUCAUUCUUUUAAGUCUCAAUCAUUCUUUUUGAUAUUUGUCUUCCUUUACAAAGGCACUGCAGAGGCUAAGAAGACGCAUGGAAACUCUAAAAGAAACGUAAUUCAACUUGUAAACCAGAUUUCAAAAGGAAAUAAUGAAUCCCGAAGCUCAGAUGUCAGACACCGAGGCUGCCAGUACCUCUGGGUCGAUAGUCCAUGUGUUGGAUGAUGCACCGCCGUUGAUCAGAACAGACAGCGUAUAUCCACACAGGUCGCACCAACCACUCCCCUUUACUGACCAGUAGGAGAGAAGUGCCCCUUUGAAAUCCUCUUGACCCCCUUGGUCCCACUGGAAGACAAGCCUCCUAUCAAGCAGUGGCACAUGCCCGCAUCCCGUGCCAAGGCUGAGCGGGAAUGGGAGAAUAGCCAACGGGAGCGCAGGAAGAGAGUGAAGCCAAUUCACUGGGACGUUAACUUUAAGUCUGGGCCUUUCUUCCCAGUGUGUGUCACUCCAUCACUGCCCUCGAUCUUGGAGAUGGACGAAGAGUCUCUGUCUGAAGAGAUGGAGCAAAGCCAGUUGUAGGGGGUCGCGCACACACACAUUCAUUUUCAUUUAUAUACCUUUAUUUAAAUAGGCAAGUUAGUUAAGUACAAAUUCUUAUUUACAAUGACGACCUACCCCAGCAAAACCCUAACCCGGACGGCACUGGGCCAAUUGUGUGCCACCCUACAGGACCAGUGCCUUAGACCAAUCGGGAGCGUUAUUGAGACCUCAUGGCCUACCAUGGACCAGAGAGGAUCAGCCAGCAUCAUCCCAGCGUCUGCCCUGCCUGCCAUCCUAGUACCUCCACUGCCCUUUCAACCCCAAACCACAAAGGGCAGGUGACAGAAGUGAUCCAGCGCCCAACGAUCCAGGCUGUUCUGCAUGAGCAGCAGCAGCUACUGUCGGAAGUACUGUUGGAACAGACUUUUCCAAUGAGAUCCAACAGGAGCCACAAGCUUUCAAAGUACUUUCAUCCCUGGGUGUGGAGCUUCUCGAACAAUGUUCUCUUCCUGAAGAUGGACUGCUUAAACCCCUUGGGAGUAUCCAGAGUAUCUAGUACGCUGGUGUGAUGAUAGAAUAUGUCCCUCAUUAUCAACUAGAGAUUAAUAUUAAUCCACUUGUUAUUCUAGUUUGGCAAAUGUUAAUUUAUCAUCAGCAUGUUCCAAAGAAUUCUGUUUCUAUAAAGUUUUAUUGCUGUUGAAAAUGAUCUGUGGUGUGUGUUGGUUUCUUGUGAGCUAUGAAGUAUACCCUUUUAGUAGAAUGUUUAUUUCUUCAUUGGACUUGUUGAUUUGUGACCAAGGAGAAGAGGUAAAUGCUGACCGGACAAAUUUAAGUGAAGGUCCGAUUCAAAUUUGUAUUAAUCCGAAGGAGGCACAUCUGACUCAUACCUUCGUGCCAUAAUUCUUCACAUUUUCAAUGUAUAGCAACACUGACAAAUUCUAAGGUGGAACUGUUUGUACUACAGCAUUGGAAAUGAGGAUCUAUCUAAACACAGUGGUUAUGAAUUGUGAGAAUGCUGAACAACAUUUUCUGACCAAUAGGCUUGUUUGUCGUAAUAUUUGGCCAAAUGUUUCUUCG